UACGGAGGAGGCAAGCGUUAUCCGGAAUUAUUGGGCGUAAAGCGUCCGCAGGCGGCACCUCAAGUCUGCUGUCAAAGACCGGGGCUUAACCCCAGAAAGGCAGUGGAAACUGAAGUGCUAGAGUGCAGUAGGGGUAGAGGGAAUUCCCGGUGUAGCGGUGAAAUGCGUAGAGAUCGGGAAGAACAUCGGUGGCGAAGGCGCUCUGCUGGACUGCAACUGACGCUCAGGGACGAAAGCUAGGGGAGCGAAUGGG
rnacentral:rRNA from 1 species